UACAGAGGUCUCGAGCGUUAAUCGGAGUCACUGGGCUUAAAGGGUGCGUAGGCGGGUCUGUAAGUGUCUUGUGAAAUCCCACAGCUCAACUGUGGAAUUGCUCGAUAGACUAUGGACCUUGAGGUUGGUAGGGGUCGCUGGAACUCUAGGUGGAGCGGUGAAAUGCGUAGAUAUCUAGAGGAACGCCGAAGGUGAAGACAAGCGACUGGGCCAAUUCUGACGCUGAGGCACGAAAGCGUGGGGAGCAAACAGG
rnacentral:rRNA from 1 species